rnacentral:tRNA from 1 species
GGGGAUAUAGCUUAGUGGUAGAGCUCUUGCCUAAUAUGUAAGGCCCUGGGUUAAAUCCCCAGCAUUACAA